rnacentral:rRNA from 1 species
CAAAGGUUUGGUCCUAGCCUUAUUAUUAAUUAAAAUUAUAUUUACACAUGCAAGUCUCAGCAUCCCUGUGAAAAUGCCCUUUUUUACCUAUGAGUAAAAAAGGAGCAGAUAUCAGGCACAUUUUAUGCCCAUAACAUCUUGCCAAGCCACACCUCCACAGGAAUUCAGCAGUGGUAAACAUUGAAAAAUAAGCGUCAAAAAGCUUGAAUCAGUAAUAAUUUUUAGAGUUGGUAAAUUUCGUGCCAGCCACCGCGGUUAUACGAGAAACUCAAAUUAAUAAAAACGGCCUAAAGCGUGGUUAAAUUAUAUUAAAAUAUAUAGAAAUAAAAAUUAACUUAACUGUCGUACGUAUUCGUUAAAUGGAGAACCAGAAACGAAAGAUAUUCUAAUAAACAAAUUAUUUGAAUCCACGAAAGCUAAGAAACAAACUAGGAUUAGAUACCCUACUAUGCUUAGCCUUAAACUUUGGGACCCCCCCCCGCCUGAGUACUACGAGCCACAGCUUAAAACUCAAAGGACUUGGCGGUGCUCUACACCCCCCU